UGGGCUUAAAUGCAUUCUGACAGAUUGGGAAACCAGUCCUCCUUCGGGCAGAAUGCAAGGUGCUGCAUGGCCGUCGUCAGCUCGUGCUGUGAGGUGUCGGGUUAAGUCCCAUAACGAGCGCAACCCCUAUCUUUAGUUGCCAGCGGGUAAUGCCGGGGACUCUAGAGAAACUGCCCGCGCAAGCGGAGAGGAAGGUGGGGAUGACGUUACGGUCUUACU
rnacentral:misc_RNA from 1 species